ACAGCACAGCUAGUUUCAAAAUUAAACCACAAUGAAAACUGUCACUACUGACAAGGAACUAUGCAAAGACCUUCGGUCUCAGGCCCUUGCUCACUCAGGAGUACCUUGAGACCUGUUUCUUCCUGUUCAGCUGCAGUCACGGUUCUAACCUGGUUCUUCUCACGGCUGGUAUCCUCUGACCUUUUAUGUCUUGGCAAUGACUUCCAUGCAUUUUGGCAGUGACUGCCUGAAUCUCUGAUUCAACCCUGAUCGCAGCCUCUCGGGCUUUCUCGCUCCUUUAAUUCUUUCCGCGGAUGGCCACGGCUUUUGCCGCCUGUACCCUUCCUGGAGCAACCCGUGCUUUUGAAAAAUGACCAUGCCGAAGGGGAACUAACACUCCCAGCCUGGUGCGGGUCUUGUCAAUCUGAUUUUUAAAUGAUGGAGGAGGAGGUUUGAGGACAAAGCUCAUGGUGGCAUUACCACUAUCAGGGACGCUGCAAAGAUCAAGUGAAAAGGGGAAAAGGCUCUUCUCAAUGUGAGCACAUUCACAGGCUCUGAGAACAGAGAGGUAUUUAAAGUGAACUGGAACAAACCUGCAACAUCCGGUGCGUUCUGCCUUCAAAAAUAGCUGCCAGUUAGAAAGGGUUAUUUACAUAUUGAUUUCAUGCUAACUUUGUAAUGGAAUGUGCUGCCUGCCUGCCUGCCUGAGACCUAACAACUGUCAUCAUAAUUUUUUCUAAAAAUACAGUCAGAGAAAAACACUCAUUGAACCCUCCACUGGAAAGUAGCUGCAAAAGACCCCCUGAUCCCAAACCUGCUUGACAGACCACAGCCAAGGGCAGGGACACUCAACAACUGUAAACGAGGAACAUUUCACAGCGGCAGCUGGCCCCUCUCUUCUUCCAACCAGCCAAUAUUUUUUGUCUUUCUAGAAAACCUGUCUUGUUCAAAGGGCGGCAAGUGCAGCCUGAGAGCCCUCCACGGCCUGAUUGCUGAAAGAAUUUCCAAAAGGAAAGAGUGUAAACAGUAAGUUUCCUGAGGCUUCCCCAGCCAUGCUUCUUGUACAGCCUGUGGAACUGCUGGAACUUACCAUUGGCUGUCCUGGUCCUCAGGCCUUCGGAGUCAGACUGGAACUACACCAUCGGCUUUCCAGGGUCCCCAGCUUGCCAACUGCAGACCUUGGAAUCAGCCUCAUAAUUGCAAAAACCAAUUUCUUAUCCAAAUAUUAGUAUAUAUAUGUAAUUUCUUACAAGAAAUUUAAGUAAACUUCAUAUGUAUAAU
ensembl:lncRNA LINC01685 long intergenic non-protein coding RNA 1685